CCACGCGUUCCCAUCUCGAACACGACCGUUAAGCCCUCCAGCGUCGAUGGUACUUGAACCGCAGGGUUCUGGGAGAGUAGAACGUUGCCAAGC
rfam:Paenibacillus sp. Soil787 contig_42, whole genome shotgun sequence.